rnacentral:lncRNA from 1 species
UCUCUCUCUCUCUCUCUCGCUCUCUCUCUCUCUCUCUCGCUGCAGAUCACUCAAUCACCUUGGAGACUUGUAGGCAGGCCAUUACUGACCUUAACAACAGUCUGCGGAGAACUGUCAUGCUGUACACUACGGUACUGCAGCAUGGCCAACACCCCAGUGAUGACCAACACCAGAUGAGGACCAUCCUGUCUGAGGCCCUGCUCACAGUGAAGACAGAGCUGGACGCUCUUCCUCACCCCACCUCACAGAGUGAAGGGCUGAGGCGAGACCAGGACGUAAAAGGUGAGGGGGACAAAGCCCUGGCUCUGCUGGAGCAGUACGCCGAGCUCCUGCUGAAGUCUGUGGAGAGGAAACUGGAUACAAAGACUUGAAGAGAUGUUUGCUGGGAGGAGACAUGUAAUUCCAUAGGAGCACUGAGAAUUAUAGACUUGUUUUUUUUGCACAGAGGUGUUUUGUUUAUUUAUAGACUGAAAGCAGAUGUCAUUGUAUUAGAAGAAAAUGCACUGAGACAAAAAAUAGUUACAAAAAUGCCUUGUUUUCAAGUUGCCAUAGCGCUUCUUUGUCAGUGCUUGUUUUAAUAAAUUAAAUUCAUAUUGCA